rnacentral:rRNA from 1 species
CAAGAGGAGCGGCAGACGGGUGAGUAACGCGUGGGAAUCUACCCAUCUCUACGGAACAACUCCGGGAAACUGGAGCUAAUACCGUAUACGUCCUUCGGGAGAAAGAUUUAUCGGAGAUGGAUGAGCCCGCGUUGGAUUAGCUAGUUGGUGGGGUAAUGGCCUACCAAGGCGACGAUCCAUAGCUGGUCUGAGAGGAUGAUCAGCCACAUUGGGACUGAGACACGGCCCAAACUCCUACGGGAGGCAGCAGUGGGGAAUAUUGGACAAUGGGCGAAAGCCUGAUCCAGCCAUGCCGCGUGAGUGAUGAAGGCCCUA